AGAUAGGGAGUCAAUGGAGACUAAUUUACGAGCUAUCCCUUUACAUGUAUCAGGGGACCAUUUUCAAUGUGGAGACUGGUGUGGUUUUGUAAAGCAACCAUUAUUAUAAAAACCAAGAAACCUGCCUUAUGGAAAAUAUUUAACUGAAGAAGAUCUAAUACAGGACCUCCAAAAUAUCUUUGAUGCUUUCAGCAAGAAUGCUGAUAGAUUACUUAACAUAGGCAGCACUCAAGGAUAUGAGAGCUUCAACAACAUAGUUUCCUCAAAAAACCCAAAGAACCGCUUUUAUGGUGGUUCUGAGUCCACUGCAUUCAGGGUUGCAGCAGCUGUUGCACAAGAGAAUAUUGGCACUGAUGCUUUUUCCAAGGUUUAUGACAACUUAUUACUGUCGCCGGGAAAGAAUACACAAUUGUUUCUUACUUGGGCAUCAAAGAAAAGGCAGUAUAGCAGGAACAGAAAGGCCAGUACAGCAUACAAAAAACGGCGCUAUGAACUGAAGUCAUCAAUAGCUA